GAAGGCAUAGCUCAAGUGCUAGAGUGGUUGCUUAGCAUGCAUGAGGCCCUGGGUUCAAUCCCCAGUACCUCCU
rnacentral:tRNA from 1 species